rnacentral:rRNA from 1 species
AUUGAACGCUGGCGGCAGGCCUAACACAUGCAAGUCGAACGGUAACAGGAAGAAGCUUGCUUCUUUGCUGACGAGUGGCGGACGGGUGAGUAAUGUCUGGGAAACUGCCUGAUGGAGGGGGAUAACUACUGGAAACGGUAGCUAAUACCGCAUAACGUCGCAAGACCAAAGAGGGGGACCUUCGGGCCUCUUGCCAUCGGAUGUGCCCAGAUGGGAUUAGCUAGUAGGUGGGGUAACGGCUCACCUAGGCGACGAUCCCUAGCUGGUCUGAGAGGAUGACCAGCCACACUGGAACUGAGACACGGUCCAGACUCCUACGGGAGGCAGCAGUGGGGAAUAUUGCACAAUGGGCGCAAGCCUGAUGCAGCCAUGCCGCGUGUAUGAAGAAGGCCUUCGGGUUGUAAAGUACUUUCAGCGGGGAGGAAGGGAGUAAAGUUAAUACCUUACUCAUUGACGUUACCCGCAGAAGAAGCACCGGCUAACUCCGUG